rnacentral:lncRNA from 1 species
CUGGUACCAGAGGAAGAAACAUGGAAACUGUGGAAUCCUCCUGUGCCAUCCUGGGAGGUGACCCUCCAAUCUCUGCAGAUCCUUCUAGGAGCUGGUCUGAGCAUCGAAUUGCUCUACAUCUAGUUUUACAUUUCAAGGGGAAAGAUUAUUGCAAUGGAGAGGCCUGAUGACUUUUUGAGACCAAUGUUGGGAAGACAUGAGUUUCACCUAUUCUCAAGCAACCUGGAGGUCCAUGGAUUGCAGCCAUCUGUGGGUGUUGUGGAGGCUGAGUCUGUGUCAUGCACCAUGAGGCUGGGUGCAGAAGGGAGUUGUUUUGCUGGAGAGGGAGGUUUUCUGACCUCUCAACGCCCACACCUCAACCCAUCAGAAGUCAUAACUCAAGAAAUGAUAACAGAUUAGCUGUGAGCGAACAUCUGCCACCAAUCCUCCUCUUUUUGCUGAGGAGGACCGGCCCUGAGCUAACAUCCAUGCCCAUCUUCCUCUACUUUAUACAUGAGAUGCCUGCCAUGGCAUGGCUUGUGAAACAAGUGUAAGGUCUGCACUGGGGAUCCGAACCGGCAAACCCUGGGCCGCCGAAGUGGAAUGUGCGAACUUAACCAAUGAGCCACUGGGCUGGCCCCUGAGGAGAUUUCUAAGCAAAGUGUUGAAGGAGUGGCUUUGUUCCUCUUGAAUGCUUAUAGUAAAAUGUGAAAGGAAAGAGAUGAAAUGAAGAAGAGAUCGUUCAGCAAAAAGGAAACAGA